rnacentral:rRNA from 1 species
CCUACGGGAGGCAGCAGUGAGGAAUAUUGGUCAAUGGACGAGAGUCUGAACCAGCCAAGUAGCGUGAAGGAUGACGGCCCUAUGGGUUGUAAACUUCUUUUAUAUGGGAAUAAAAUGUUCCACGUGUGGGAUUUUGUAUGUACCAUAUGAAUAAGGAUCGGCUACCUCCGUGCCAGCAGCCGCGGGAAUACGGAGGAUCAGAGCGUUAUCCGGAUUUAUUGGGUUUAAAGGGAGCGUAGGUGGAUUGUUAAGUCAGUUGUGAAAGUUUGUGGCGCAACCGUAAAAUUGCAGUUGAAACUGGCAGUCGUGAGGACAGUAGGGGUGGGCGGAAUUCGUGGUGUAGCGGUGAAAUGCAUAGAUAUCACGAAGAACUCCGAUUGCGAAGGCAGCUCACUGGACUACAACUGACACUGAGGCUCGAAAGUGUGGGUAUCAAACAGGAUUAGAUACCCGAGUAGUC